CUUCCGGGUCAUCUGGCCAGCAUGACUAAGCCGCUUCUGGCGAACCAGAGCAGCGCACAGAAAUGCUGUUUACCUUCCCGCCAGAGUGGUACCUAUUUAUCUACUUGCACUUUGACGUGCUUUCGAACUGCUAGGUUGGCAGGAGCAGGGACCGAGCAACAGGAGCUCACCCCGUUGAGGUGAUUCGAACCGCCGACCUUCUGAUCAGCAAGUCCUAGGCUCUGUGGUUUAACCCACAGCACCACCCGCGUCCCUAGAAAUACGGUAGCUUAAGGCAAUAUUGAAUAGAAAUGUUGUAACUAAAACAAACUAGUAGUAAGGAUGGGGCAAAUUUAAAUUUUGGUUUGGGUGCUCUGCUCAUUGGAAUGAAGUCCCACGUUCCUUAGAUCCUUCCCAAAUCGCUGGUUCUAUCAUAAAAUUGGCCCAGGACUGUCGGUGUUUAUAUUGGCUUCACUCGUAUCCCUUUAGCAGCAGCAUAACAGGAAUAGAGGGACGCGGGCUUUGUCUUGCACAAAGGGAAAGGGGCAGAUUUCACCUGCUAAAUUUCCGUGAAUCUCCCCCCCCCCCGUAAAAGCAAAAAAUUAAAACAAACAAGCCUGCAGGUUUAGUACAAAAUUUGAGAACCUUAGGUGCGUGGAGCAAAUUUUUGAUGUCUUAAUGUGCCCUUUGUAAAUAGACUUGACAAUGAACGCUUGUGCGUUUUAAGGGAAGUACGGUGCGUGCACCCUCUAGUGGCAAACACACACACACACACACACACACACACACACACACACAAAGACUCUUUUCCACACCUCUCACAAGCAUCUGCCACUGGCAUUAUGCACCAACGUCUAAUCCCCAAUAAGGCAACAGGGUGGAAAAGGCAUUGUGCUGCAGGCAACAGUGGAUAAAUCUGUUUUAGCUCUUUCAUAUUUAUGUGGAGACCCACAGCCUUUGCACUCUCUUAACCACGGCGCUGCUAAUUUGCAAACAAGGAUCUUUUCACAGACAGAAAUCAAAAUGUGUAGCCUUUCCAAUCUCACUGCUCAGAGUAGGGAAUCGCCUGCUUAAUUUCUCCGUGGUCUGAAAUGUGAUAACAACCCCAAUCUGUAGCUUUGCAUAGAUUGGUGAUGCGUACAAUAAGAAAUUAAGCAGAGCCCUGCUGCAUCAGAUAAUCAAGAAUAGCAUCCCAGUUUCCACAGUGGGAAGAUGGAUUGAUUGACAGUCCUCUCCUAUUACCACCCCACUGUCUUCAGCAACUGGUAUUUAAGGUUAUAGUCCCUAUGAACAUGGAGGUUCCCAUUCACAGAGCAACCCUGACUGUCGUCUGUUCAGAAGCAAGCCCUACGGAAUUGAAUGCCCAGCCAACACCUCCCUUCAAGUGUCCUAGAGAGUGAAGUUCUUUGACAGUCACUUGAAUGGCAAAUUAUUGAUCUUUGCUAACCAUUAAGUUGAUUUAA